GGAACAGCCGCAGGUUAGUGGUAAGGCAUCUCCCUUGCAUGCAGAUGACCCCAGGUUCAAUCUCUGGUGUCUCUA